AUUGAACGCUGGCGGCAGGCCUAACACAUGCAAGUCGAGCGGAUGAAGGGAGCUUGCUCCUGGAUUCAGCGGCGGACGGGUGAGUAAUGCCUAGGAAUCUGCCUGGUAGUGGGGGAUAACGUCCGGAAACGGGCGCUAAUACCGCAUACGUCCUGAGGGAGGAAGUGGGGGAUCUUCGGACCUCACGCUAUCAGAUGAGCCUAGGUCGGAUUAGCUAGUUGGUGGGGUAAAGGCCUACCAAGGCGACGAUCCGUAACUGGUCUGAGAGGAUGAUCAGUCACACUGGAACUGAGACACGGUCCAGACUCCUACGGGAGGCAGCAGUGGGGAACAUUGGACAAUGGGCGAAAGCCUGAUCCAGCCAUGCCGCGUGUGUGAAGAAGGUCUUCGGAUUGUAAAGCACUUUAAGUUGGGAGGAAGGGCAGUAAGUUAAUACCUUGCUGUUUUGACGUUACCAACAGAAUAAGCACCGGCUAACUUCGUG
rnacentral:rRNA from 1 species